rnacentral:rRNA from 1 species
GACGAACGCUGGCGGCGUGCUUAACACAUGCAAGUCGAACGGGAUUUAGUAAACAGAAACCUCGGUGGAAGAUUACUAAUGAGAGUGGCGAACGGGGGAGUAACGCGUGAGCAACCUGCCUAUGACAGUGGGAUAGCCUCUGGAAACCGGGAUUAAUACCGCAUAAAAUCGUAGAAACACAUGUUUUAACGGUCAAAGAUUUAUCGGUCAUAGAGGGGCUCGCGUCUGAUUAGCUAGUUGGUGAGAUAACAGCCCGCCAAGGCGACGAUCAGUAGCCGGUCGGAGAGGAUGAACGGCCACAUUGGAACUGAGACACGGUCCAAACUCCUAGGGGAGGCAGCGGUGGGGAAUAUUGCACAAUGGGGGAAACCCUGAUGCAGCGACGCCGCGUGAACGAAGAAGGUAUUCGUAUCGUAAAGUUCUGUCCUAUGGGAAGAUAAUGACAGUACCAUAGAAGAAAGCUCCGGCUAAAUACGUG